GAACGCAUCUUGCGCUCCUUGGUAUUCCGAGGAGCAUGCCUGUUUGAGUGUCAUCAAGUUCUCAACCCGCAUCCAUUUUGAAGGGAUGUGUGGAUUUGGAUUAUGGAGUUUGCAGGCUUGAUUGAGGUCUGCUCCUCUGAAACGUAUUAGUGGCAAUGUGGAAAAGCUACUGUGGGUGUGAUAACUAUCUAUGCCUAUGCAGUGCUCUGCUGUGCCGCUUUGGAGGGAGAAAUUUAUUUCUGACAAACUUGACCUCAAAUCAGGUAGGACUACCCGCUGAACUUA
rnacentral:misc_RNA from 1 species